UACGAAGGGGGCUAGCGUUGCUCGGAAUCACUGGGCGUAAAGCGCACGUAGGCGGCCAACUAAGUCAGACGUGAAAUCCCUCGGCUUAACCGGGGAACUGCGUCUGAUACUGGAUGGCUUGAGUUCGGGAGAGGGAUGCGGAAUUCCCAGUGUAGAGGUGAAAUUCGUAGAUAUUGGGAAGAACACCGGUGGCGAAGGCGGCGACCUGGUCCGAUACUGACGCUGAGGCGCGAAAGCGUGGGGAGGCAAACAGG
rnacentral:rRNA from 1 species